rnacentral:rRNA from 1 species
UGGGGACUAUUGCACAAUGGGCGCAAGCCUGAUGCAGCCAUGCCGCGUGUAUGAAGAAGGCCUUCGGGUUGUAAAGUACUUUCAGCGGGGAGGAAGGGAGUGAGGUUAAUAACCUUAUUCAUUGACGUUACCCGCAGAAGAAGCACCGGCUAACUCCGUGCCAGCAGCCGCGGUAAUACGGAGGGUGCAAGCGUUAAUCGGAAUUACUGGGCGUAAAGCGCACGCAGGCGGUCUGUCAAGUCGGAUGUGAAAUCCCCGGGCUCAACCUGGGAACUGCAUUCGAAACUGGCAGGCUGGAGUCUUGUAGAGGGGGGUAGAAUUCCAGGUGUAGCGGUGAAAUGCGUAGAGAUCUGGAGGAAUACCGGUGGCGAAGGCGGCCCCCUGGACAAAGACUGACGCUCAGGUGCGAAAGCGUGGGGAGCAAACAGG